GUGCCAAAUUGAUAUGGAGCCCACUGUCGUUGCUUUAUAAUGUGCACUGAACUACAUUUCCCAGAAUUCCCUCCCUGCAUGUUUCCGCCUAAGGUGGGCCACAACAUUCUUAUGCAGAUGUGGGGCUUGGAAGGGAACCAGCAGCCAUUUUGUAGCUCAUAUCAUUGCUUAUCUAUUGCCUUACUUCACUGGCAAGGGACCUACCACUGCUCCACCUUCCCCUAAGUCCUUCUCCAGCUUUUCCAACUCCUGGGCUAGAUAUAUGAUGAAGGAGGACAGCCUCUCCUGUAGGAUCUAUACCAUCAAGUUGUAGGAAGGGGAUACUUCUACUCUCACCAAGAUACAGGUUCUGAAAUAAGAUCCUGUAGGAAUCCUCCCCAAUUUAAAGCUGAUUUAAGAAGUUUGUCUGUAACUUUGGAGACCAGUGUGGAUACAUAGCUGCAGCCAUUUGAAUUACUCUAACCUGGGAUGAUAUCUGCCACAUAUUUGAAAUUCCCAGGCUUAGAUGUCCUCCGUUGGAACAAGGUUGAGAGAGUCCAGAGAAGGGCCCAGCACAAUGCGAUUGUGUCAUUUGUGAUCGGGAACCAACGUGGCUCUGGCAGACCGACACUUUCAUCAGCCCUGCUGUGUGAAUAGCUAGCAGCCUCCAGAAGGCCCAGACCUCGGGGUGAGCUGACAGGGCGGGGUCUGUCUCCGCUUGAGGCCGGGACCGCGCCGACCACCCGCCCGGCGAA